rnacentral:rRNA from 1 species
AUGAACGCUGGCGGCGUGCCUAAUACCUGCAAGUCGCGCGCACAGACGAGGAGCUUGCUCCUCUGACGUUAGCGGCGGACGGGUGAGUAACACGUGGAUAACCUACCUAUAAGACUGGGAUAACUUCGGGAAACCGGAGCUAAUACCGGAUAAUAUAUUGAACCGCAUGGUUCAAUAGUGAAAGACGGUUUUGCUGUCACUUAUAGAUGGAUCCGCGCCGCAUUAGCUAGUUGGUAAGGUAACGGCUUACCAAGGCAACGAUGCGUAGCCGACCUGAGAGGGUGAUCGGCCACACUGGAGCUGAGACACGGUCCAGACUCCUACGGGAGGCAGCAGUAGGGAAUCUUCCGCAAUGGGCGAAAGCCUGACGGAGCAACGCCGCGUGAGUGAUGAAGGUCUUCGGAUCGUAAAACUCUGUUAUUAGGGAAGAACAAAUGUGUAAGUAACUAUGCACGUCUUGACGGUACCUAAUCAGAAAGCCACGGCUAACUACGUG